rnacentral:lncRNA from 1 species
AUGGUGGGAUAGAUUCUGUGAUGGAAUGGGAAGUGGAUGAAGUGCUGAACUGGACAAAUACCCUCAACUUUGAUGAGUAUAUUGCCAACUGGAAGCAAAUUGCUACAAGCAACUCUUCAGUUAACUUCAAAGGUAUAGGACUAAAAUGUUCCAGUAUUACUACCUCUAUGGAUCAUUAUACUAAAUGGAGGUUGCAGCCAACACAGUAAGUCAAGAAAAAGCAACGGUUCCAGUGCCUACCUCGCAAGCGCAAGGUCACGAGUUUGAUCCCCGGUACCCAAAAAAAGAAAAAGAAAAAGCAAAAACAAAAAAUCUGGGAAGAAGCAUAUCUGAAAUUAUUCAUAAUUAUGUGUAUAUAAAAUCUAAGACUCUUUCAAAAGAAAGAAUAAGAGUUUACCAUGAUUACUGGAC